UACAGAGGUCCCAAGCGUUGUUCGGAUUCAUUGGGCGUAAAGGGUGCGUAGGCGGCGCGGUAAGUCGGGUGUGAAAUCUCGGAGCUUAACUCCGAAACUGCAUUCGAUACUGCCGUGCUUGAGGACUGGAGAGGAGACUGGAAUUUACGGUGUAGCGGUGAAAUGCGUAGAUAUCGUAAGGAAGACCAGUGGCGAAGGCGGGUCUCUGGACAGUUCCUGACGCUGAGGCACGAAGGCCAGGGGAGCAGACGGG
rnacentral:rRNA from 1 species